rnacentral:rRNA from 1 species
GAUGAACGCUGGCGGCGUGCCUAAUACAUGCAAGUCGAGCGAACAGACGAGGAGCUUGCUCCUCUGACGUUAGCGGCGGACGGGUGAGUAACACGUGGAUAACCUACCUAUAAGACUGGGAUAACUUCGGGAAACCGGAGCUAAUACCGGAUAAUAUAUUGAACCGCAUGGUUCAAUAGUGAAAGACGGUUUUGCUGUCACUUAUAGAUGGAUCCGCGCCGCAUUAGCUAGUUGGUAAUGUAACGGCUUACCAAGGCAACGAUGCGUAGCCGACCUGAGAGGGUGAUCGGCCACACUGGAACUGAGACACGGUCCAGACUCCUACGGGAGGCAGCAGUAGGGAAUCUUCCGCAAUGGGCGAAAGCCUGACGGAGCAACGCCGCGUGAGUGAUGAAGGUCUUCGGAUCGUAAAACUCUGUUAUUAGGGAAGAACAAAUGUGUAAGUAACUAUGCACGUCUUGACGGUACCUAAUCAGAAAGCCACGGCUAACUACGUG